rnacentral:rRNA from 1 species
CAGUCGCCGCGGGAAUACGUAGGGUGCAAGCGUUAAUCGGAAUUACUGGGCGUAAAGCGUGCGCAGGCGGUUUGUUAAGACAGAUGUGAAAUCCCCGGGCUCAACCUGGGAACUGCAUUUGUGACUGGCAAGCUAGAGUAUGGCAGAGGGGGGUGGAAUUCCGCGUGUAGCAGUGAAAUGCGUAGAUAUGCGGAGGAACACCGAUGGCGAAGGCAGCCCCCUGGGCCAAUACUGACGCUCAUGCACGAAAGCGUGGGGAGCAAACAGGAUUAGAGACCCCCGUAGUCCCUGUCUCUUAUAC